rnacentral:rRNA from 1 species
AGUGAACGCUGGCGGUAGGCCUAACACAUGCAAGUCGAACGGCAGCACAGUAAGAGCUUGCUCUUACGGGUGGCGAGUGGCGGACGGGUGGGAAUACAUCGGAAUCUACUUUUUCGUGGGGGAUAACGUAGGGAAACUUACGCUAAUACCGCAUACGACCUACGGGUGAAAGCAGGGGAUCUUCGGACCUUGCGCGAUUGUAUGAGCCGAUGUCGGAUUAGCUAGUUGGCGGGGUAAAGGCCCACCAAGGCGACGAUCCGUAGCUGGUCUGAGAGGAUGAUCAGCCACACUGGAACUGAGACACGGUCCAGACUCCUACGGGAGGCAGCAGUGGGGAAUAUUGGACAAUGGGCGCAAGCCUGAUCCAGCCAUACCGCGUGGGUGAAGAAGGCCUUCGGGUUGUAAAGCCCUUUUGUUGGGAAAGAAAAGCAGCAGGUUAAUACCCCGCUGUUCUGACGGUACCCAAAGAAUAAGCACCGGCUAACUUCGUG